rnacentral:rRNA from 1 species
GGANGGGCNGAGGGUGGUUUCACCCNCUGGCCCGUACCCGCCGGUGGCCUCCAACCAAACUCUUGUCAAAAACGUGUCGUCUGAAGUACAAAACAAAUAAGCAAAAACUUUCAACAACGGAUCUCUUGGUUCUGGCAUCGAUGAAGAACGCAGCGAAAUGCGAUAAGUAAUGCGAAUUGCAGAAUCCGUGAGUCAUCGAAUCUUCGAACGCACAUUGCGCCCUUUGGUAUUCCGAAGGGCAUGCCUGUUCGAGCGUCAUUAUCACCCCUCAAGCCCCCGGCUUGGUGUUGGGCUUUCGGUGGUCGUCUCCGACCAUCGGCCUCAAAGAUAGUGAUGGCGUCCCAGAGGGAACCGGUACGAGGAGCUUUUACGAGCAUGUACACGGGACGACUCUGCGGGCGACGGUCUUUCUUAACUUUUAUAUAAGUGUUGACCUCGGAUCAGGUAGGAAUACCCGCUGAACUUAAGCAUAUCAAUAAGCGGAGGAA